AUGCUUGCUUCAAUAGCACAUAUGCUAAAAUUGCAAUGAUACGGAGAUCAGCAUGGCCCCUGUGCAAGAGUGACAUGCAUAUUUGUGAUGUGUUCCAUGUUUUU
rnacentral:snRNA from 2 species